GACGAACGCUGGCGGCGUGCUUAACACAUGCAAGUCGAACGGAAAGGCCCUGCUUUUGUGGGGUGCUCGAGUGGCGAACGGGUGAGUAACACGUUGGUAACCUGCCCUUGACUUUGGGAUAACUUCAGGAAACUUGGGCUAAUACCGGAUAGGAGCUCCUGCUGCAUGGUGGGGGUUGGAAAGUUUCGGCGGUUGGGGAUGGACUCGCGGCUUAUCAGCUUGUUGGUGGGGUAGUGGCUUACCAAGGCUUUGACGGGUAGCCUGCCUGAGAGGGUGACCGGACACAUUGGGACUGAGAUACGGCCCAGCCUCCUAUGGGAGGCAGCAGUGGGGUAUAUUGCACAAUGGGCGGAAGCCUGAUGCAGCAACGCCGCGUGCGGGAUGACGGCCUUCGGGUUGUAAACCGCUUUCGCCUGUGACGAAGCGUGAGUGACGGUAAUGGGUAAAGAAGCACCGGCUAACUACGUG
rnacentral:rRNA from 1 species